rnacentral:misc_RNA from 1 species
AGAAAGUAGUCAGCCCGUCUGGGCGUAUCUACCACCCUUUGUUUACCACACCAUUGUUGCUUUGGCGGGCCUGUCUCCGGACUGCUGGCUCCGGCUGGCGAGCGCCUGCCAAGGGACCCAAACUCUGUUUGUCUAUACUGUCUGAGUACUAUAUAAUAGUUA